CAAGCACGCCCCUGUCCCAAACGAUGCCGCCGCCAAACCAAAAUUCCCCUCUCUCAAACCCUUCCUCCCGUCCCGAUCUGCCGCGCCUCGCCCUGGAUCGCUCGCUCCACCGCUCCCUGCUUGCCUCGCUCCGCCGCUCCCCUGCUCGCCUCGCUCCGCCGCUCCCCUGCCCGCCUCGCUCCGCCGCUCCCCUGCCCGCCCCGCUCCGCCACUCCCCUUCUGUUUCUCCUUCUGUACUGCAUCCGUGACCUAGUCACACCAUGGUCGCGACGGGCGCGGUGACCCUGGCCACGCCGGCUGGGUGACGGCUUGGUGCCGCUGCUGGUGACUCCAUCUGCGACGCCCUCAACUCAUGCUAACUGCGCCGCCCUUGACCGUGGUGGCGGUGCCGUCCUCGCUGAUUGGACGACGACCGGAUCUGCCUGCUGUUGUACGCCGCUGCUCCUGUCGAAAAGAAACUGACUAGUGUCGGGUGUUGUUUGCUUGAAGAAAAUUUCCCUGUUCGUGGUGUCGAAACAACAGUUGUGUCAAAGCAACAGAGAACAAAGACAUUGCUCAACUGGAAUCAAGUAGAUUUCAGUAGAAAACCAGACCAUGUCUUUGGAUGCUCAGCGUAGCUGGAUGUAUAGUGGGUGGAAGGAUACAAACACUUAUGUAUAUGCUAUUGUUAUGUUUUAUCAUGAUUGUCUAGUUGAUUAUAAACUGUUCUUUGCUAUCUUUAUCUUAUUUUUUUCAAGAAUCACACGUUACAAGAUGACAAUUGGAAGAAAAGCAUCUCGACUUGCUGUAGCCAUCAAACUAGCGCCUGUUGCUCGGAACACUACUGCUGCUGAUGGCACUUACGAUGGGUAUGUAAGAGGAGUUUCAGAUCUUCCUCCUGCUAUUCCAAAUAAUGAAGACCGUCCAAUCAUUCGACCCUUUGGCAAGACGCAUUGGAAGGACAUUCUCGUUGUUCGAAAGGGCAGGCGACCAGCAAGUGUAUUAACAUGCCUUUUGAAAAGUAACCAUCCAGGUAUUCUGGAUUAUGAUGGUGUGAAGGUGAUUGCAACGGAGUGGGAGCAUUAAAAUGCGGUGAAGGACACAAAUGGUCAUUCUGUUGCAGAAAAAUUGAAGAUGCUUUUUGGCUAAGGUACAAGUAUGAAGAUGCAUACUCGGAGAAGGCAAAACAACAUGUUCGAAGAUGUUGCAAGUCACUUUUGCCAAGUAUAUUUUACUAUGCAAGUCACUUUUUGGGUAUAAAGAAGCUUGGAUUGUUGUAGUUGAUGAGUGGUGCAGUGAAGAGUGGAUUGCAAAAUCCAAGAAAUACCGUGCCAAUCGUUUCAGCUCAAAGUUCAAGCCUCACAAAGGUGGUUCCAACUCCAUGACUACUAUAAGUCAAAAAAUGGCCGAGGAAACCGGGAAGAAGUUAACCAGAUUCAGGCUUGGGUGCAUACACACAGAGGAGUGGACAAGAGCACACCUUUAAUUCUCAACACAGCAGAAGCAACUAAAUGUUUGGCGCUUUACACAGAAAAGGCUAAAGAGUUAAAUGGACAGGACUAUGAUAUUCUGAAAAAUGAUGUUAGUUCUAAAGCACUAUAUGAUUGCUCUAAUGGGAAGCCACAUGGUACAUGGUCUCUCUUUAAUGGCAUUGUCAAUGACAUCGAGGUCAUUUCUGAGGUGAGAGCUACUGGUGCAUCUUCAGCAGCCUUGAAGUGUCGUUGAGCUGAAGAAAUUGAAGAUGUGCGUAGAAAGGAGUCUGAGAAGACUAAAAAAGCAGAGGCUUAUGCCAACAAUAUCUUGUCAUGGGGUGUUGGCAUGUACGAGCACUGCGGGAUACAUAAGUUUCUUCAGACUUUGGCAACUAACCAAGGUGUGCCUAUUGGAGAAAUACCACCGCCGCCGGUUCCACCUCCUUCUCAUUCACUUUCUCCUCCUGGAUCUCCAUAACAAUCUACUAUCCAAAUUCUAGAAAAUAGCGAAGAACCGCCAGCUUUGUGUGCCCAACAAGAAACAAAUCCCAGCUCUUUUCAUGAACAUGGUGUUGCCUCAAGUGUUCCUGCUGCAAGUGUUCCUGAUGUAGACGAUGAAGGGAUGUUUGGGGGAUUUUUCAGUCAAUCUGGAGCUGGUGCACUCAGCUUAUCACUAUUGAGCAGCCAGUUGGUUCCUUGAUGUUCUUGGAUGUAUAGUGCGUGGAGUGCAUUUUGGUGCAUGUAUAGUUAACAUGCUGGUACAUGUUCUGUGAUGUAGGAAACUGUAGUUGACCUACAUCAGUCUGUACGUGCUAAUUGAGAUGCUUAAUCAAUUAGAUGUAGCAAACUCUAGCUAGCAAGCCUAUUUUUUAUCAAACUGUGAUGGCUCAUGAUGGCUGGUGGAUGUCUUGGCAUCUACUGUAUGCAUGUGACAAGUGAUAUCUAGAUGUAUAUAUUAAUUAUUUGACGUUAUUUUCAUUUCAUAAUUAUUGAUCCAUUUUGAAGUACUUUAA